UUGGGUUAGUGCGGGAGGACAUUAAUAAUUAAUAAUUUUGGCUUGUCCAUUAUUAUCUAUUUACUGUGAACUGUAUUAUUACUUGACGCUUGAGGGAUGCUCCACUGCUAUAAGGAUAGGCGGUGGGGAUGUUAACCGAGUCAUAGUCAAGCUUAGGCUUGGUAUCCUAUUAUUAUUUACCAAAAGAAUUCAGAAUUAAUAUUGUAACAUAGACCUAAAAAAUCUAUAAAACAACUUUUAACAACGGAUCUCUUGGUUCUCGCAUCGAUGAAGAACGUAGCAAAGUGCGAUAACUAGUGUGAAUUGCAUAUUCAGUGAAUCAUCGAGUCUUUGAACGCAACUUGCGCUCAUUGGUAUUCCAAUGAGCACGCCUGUUUCAGUAUCAAAACAAACCCUCUAUCCAGCAUUUUGUUGAAUAGGAAUACUGAGAGUCUCUUGAUCUAUUCUGAUCUCGAACCUCUUGAAAUGUACAAAGGCCUGAUCUUGUUUAAAUGCCUGAACUUUUUUUUAAUAUAAAGAGAAGCUCUUGCGGUAAACUGUGCUGGGGCCUCCCAAAUAAUACUUUUUUUAAAUUUGAUCUGAAAUCAGGCGGGAUUACCCGCUGAACUUAAGCAUAUCAAUAAGGCGGAGGAAAA
rnacentral:rRNA from 1 species